rnacentral:rRNA from 1 species
GACGAACGCUGGCGGCGCGCUUAACACAUGCAAGUCGAACGGAAAGGCCUGCUUUCCCUUGUGGAUUGCGGGUACUCGAGUGGCGAACGGGUGAGUAACACGUGAGUGAUCUGCCCCCAACUUGGGUAUAAGCCUGGGAAACUGGGUCUAAUUCCCGAUAGGACUGCAGGGUGGUGCCUGUGGUGGAAAACGAUUUUCUAGUGGUUGGGGAUGAGCUCGCGGCCUAUCAGCUUGUUGGUGGGGUAAUGGCCUACCAAGGCGGCGACGGGUAGCCGGCCUGAGAGGGUGGACGGCCACAUUGGGACUGAGAUACGGCCCAGACGCCUACGGGAGGCAGCAGUGGGGAAUAUGGCACAAUGGGCGGAAGCCUGAUGCAGCGACGCCGCGUGGGGGAUGACGGCCUUCGGGUUGUAAACUCCUUUCGACCGCGAGGAAGCCACCUGGUUGGAAGGGUGGUGACGGUAGUGGUAGAAGAAGCACCGGCUAACUACGUG